rnacentral:rRNA from 1 species
GAGUUUGAUCCUGGCUCAGGAUGAAUGCUGGCGGCGUGCCUUAAGCAUGCAAGUCGACCGACGUGCCCGCAAGGGUUACGAGGGGCGGACGGGUGAGUAACACGUGGGAAUCUACCCUAAAGUGGAGGAUAACUAGCCGAAAGGUUAGCUAAUACUGCAUGUGAUCGCAAGAUCAAAGGAUGUAACUAUCCGCUUUAGGAUGAGCCUGCGGCCUAUCAGCUAGUUGGUGGGGUAAAGGCCUACCAAGGCGACGACGGGUAGCUGGUCUGAGAGGAUGGUCAGCCACAAUGGCACUGAGACACGGGCCAUACACCUACGGGUGGCAGCAACUGGGAAUCUUCGGCAAUGGGCGAAAGCCUGACCGAGCGACGCCGCGUGAAGGAUGACGGCCUUCGGGUUGUAAACUUCUUUUGCAUGGGACUAAUACUGACGGUACCAUGAGAAUAAGCACCUGCUAACCACGUGCCAGCAGCCGCGGUGAGACGUGGGGUGCAAGCAUUAUCCGGAAUUACUGGGCGUAAAGAGUUCUGUAGGCGUCUUGUUAAGUUCUCAUUUAAAUGUCCAGGCUCAACCUGGAUUUCGGUGAGAAAACUAACAAGAUUGAGAAAAGUAGGGACAUGGGGAACAAAUGGUGGAGCAGUGAAAUGCGUUGAUAUCAUUUGGAACACCAAAGGCGAAGGCACCAUGUUGGGCUUUUUCUGACGCUGAGAGACGAAAGCGUGGGGAGCAAAACGGAUUAGAUACCCGUGUAGUCCACGCUGUAAACGAUGGAUACUAGAUAUUGUCGGUAUUGACCCCGG